UCCCCAAGUAGAAAUUAAAAUAAAAUCUGAGGAUGAUUUAGCUUUUGGCCGUGCUAACAGUAACAAUAAUAAGAAUCUCGGAGCCAUCCCUCUGUGUUUGCUGUUGACAGGUUCACAGAGGAACGUGUGUUUGCCGUUUUCUGAUAAAUGAAGUCACAGUACGGCAGCUGACAUCUCAGCCGAGGAGGAAACGUUCAUCUCAGCUUUCGGCUUGGAAAAACGCAAAAAUAAAUUAUACUCCCGACUGUGUGUGUGUGUUUGCAUUUUACUGCAAUAUGUCUUUCACUCCUCAUCUUCUUGUCAUCCAAGGCAACAGGGGCUUGCAAAAAA